CAAUAGCGUAUAUUUAAGUUGUUGCAGUUAAAAAGCUCGUAGUUGGAUUUCGGGUGGGACGCAGCGGUCUCGCAUUGCGUUUGUACUGCUGCAGCCCUCCUUCUUGCCGGGGGCGGCCUCUCGGACUUCACUGUCUGGGGGUCAGAAUCGGCGAUGUUACUUUGAGUAAAUUAGAGUGUUCAAAGCAAGCUUACGCUCUGAAUAUAAUAGCAUGGGAUAACACGACAGGACUCUGGCCUAUCGUGUUGGUCUAUAGGACCAGAGUAAUGAUUAAGAGGGACAGUCGGGGGCAUUCGUAUUCCGCUGUCAGAGGUGAAAUUCUUGGAUUUACGGAAGACGAACAUCUGCGAAAGCAUUUGCCAAGGAUGUUUUCAUUG
rnacentral:rRNA from 1 species